CCGACCGUAAACGGUGCACACUGGGCGUGGGGGGUUUUCACCCCCCCCGUGCCGCAGCCAACGUGUUAAGUGUGCCGCCUGGGGAGUACGGCCGCAAGGCUAAAACUCAAAGAAAUUGACGGGGGCCCGCACAAGCGGAGGAGCAUGUGGCUUAAUUCGAUGCAACGCGAAGAACCUUACCCGGGUUUGACAUGUGACUGCACGUCCCGUGAAAGCGGGAUUCCUUCGAGGGUGUCACACAGGUGC
rnacentral:rRNA from 1 species